UGACCUCAGUUUAGAUGAGACUACCCGCUGAACUUAAGCAUAUCAGUAAGCGGAGGAAAAGAAACUAACAAGGAUUCCCUUAGUAGCGGCGAGCGAACAGGGAUGAGCCCAGCACCGAACCUCGCGCCCGGUUGAGCGGGUGCCGAGGAAUGUGGUGUUCGGGAGGAUCGUGCGCGUCUGUCCGGUAUCUAUCGUCCAAGUCUCCAUGAACGGGGCGAGCAACCCACAGAGGGGUGUCAGGCCCGUAGAUAAGACGAGCCGAGACCGUGCAUCGGAUCCCUUCCCAAGAGUCGGGUUGCUUGAGCGUGCAGCCCUAAGCGGGAGGUAAACUCCUUCUAAGGCUAAAUAUCGCCACGAGACCGAUAGGCGAACAAGUACCGCGAGGGAAAGUUGAAAAGAACUUUGAAGAGAGAGUUCAAGAGUGCGUGAAACCGUUCAGGGGGUUAAACGGGUGGGCCCUCGAAGGUCGAACAAGUCCCCGCUCCCGGCACUUGGUUGUAUGCCCUUAACGCUGCAUGGAGACUGCCUGAAUUGGCGGCUCUCUUGCAUAAGUCGUCUCUGCGAUCGCAAUAGCCACGCCAAGGUCCCGCAAGUGGGGGGCCUAGUAGGACUCCGCGACCGACUGGGUGUCUGUUACACGGGGCGUCCGUUAGCGAGUUUCGUGGUUACCUUCGCGGGUGCCGCGAUGACGAGCGCGGCGUUUCCCAACAGUACUGCCCGGUCGUGACCUGUCUCCUCCCGGGAGGUGUCGUAGCUUUUUUUUGUAAAAGAGAAAAAGUUGCGGUGCUCAACCUGUGGAGGCCCAGAGCGGAGAGUAGAAGUCGGGUCCCACCCGACCCGUCUUGAAACACGGACCAAGGAGUCUAACAUGUGCGCAAGUCGUCGAGAAAUUAUCAAACUAAACUCGCGAGGCGCAAUGAAAGUGAAGCCGGGCCCCGAUGAAGGGUGCAUCCGCGAGGGGUGAUCCCGUCUCGAACAGAGCGGGCGCAACCCCAGGGCGUCCGAAUGCUCGCGAGAUCUUUCCCCCUUAAAAGGGUUUGGUCGAGUCGGGCCGGACGAACCCAGAGCGCACACGUUGGGACCCGAAAGAUGGUGACCUAUGCCUGGCCAGGACGAAGCCAGGGAAACCCUGGUGGAGGUCCGCAGCGAUUCUGACGUGCAAAUCGAUCGUCGGAGUUGGGUAUAGGGGCGAAAGACUAAUCGAACCAUCUAGUAGCUGGUUCCCCCCGAAGUUUCCCUCAGGAUAGCUGGGUGCUCGCAAAGAGAACAAACGGAGUUUCAUCCGGUAAAGCGAAUGAUUAGAGGCCUUGGGGUCGAAACGACCUCAACCUAUUCUCAAACUUUCAAUGGGUGAGAAGCCCGGCCUUUUUCGUGAUUGAGGCCGCGGCAAUUGAUUUGAAUCUGAGCGCCCAGUGGGCCAUUUUUUGGUAAGCAGAACUGGCGCUGUGGGAUGAACCAAACGCCCGGUUAAGGCGCCUAAACGACGCACAUUUCGGAUCCCACGAAAAGGAGUUGGUUGCUAAAGACAGCAGGACGGUGGCCAUGGAGGUCGGAAUCCGCUCAGGAGUGUGUAACAACUCACCUGCCGAAGCAACUAGCCCUUAAAAUGGGAGGCGCUAUAGCGUCGUGCCUAUACCGGGCCGUCGGUCGGCAGAGCGAAUAACGUCCGUGUCCAGCUCGAAGAGAGCGACGGCGCUGAGGCCCCGACGAGUAGGGGGGUCGCGACGGUGAGCGUAGAAGGGUGUGGGCGUGAGCCUGCCCGGAGCCGCCGUCGGUGCAGAUCUUGGUGGUAGUAGCAAAUACUCCAGAGGGAUCCUGGAGGACUGACGCGGAGAAGGGUUUCAUGUGAACAGUGGUUGGACAUGAGUCUGUCGAUCCUAAGCCGCAGGCGAAAGCCGACCUAGUGACGGGCGUGAUGUGUUGCAUCUAUCGUAUGAGUAGCGGGCGUGGUUGUGGUUGAGUCGUGUGUCGGUGAUUCUUCUGUGGUGUGCGCGAAGAGAAAAAAUCUUAAAGUUGCGGGGUCAAAGAAAACACAUGAAUAAGAAAGCUUGUGAGAAUGAUAGAAGGUUAAAAGAAGUGUCUUUUUCCUUUUUUUUGAUUUCUCUUAGCCGGUAUUUGAUUGUUUUUCUCCCGUCUCUUUUAUUUUCCUAGUACCGUUCAUCGCGUUAUGGCAUCGCAUGCUUCUUUCGCAGCGCCUUCGAAAAUAUGAAACCAUGUAUCGUAUAACGUGAGACGCCACCCAGGUUAAGGCGAAAGGGAAUCCGGUCCUGAUUCCGGAACCCAGGCUGCGGCUACGUCCGCGAUAAAACGACUUUAACCCUCGUAAUGUCACGGUCGCGGUAACGCGACACAAACCGGAGAAGCUGCCGAGAACCCCGGGAAGAGUUUUCUUUUCUGCUUGAGGGACCGAGACCCUGGAAUCCCGUCGCGGGGCGAGAGGGUUAUGGAUUUAGCUGUCAAAGGCUAUCCCGAAGAGCGUCGCGUUUCUGCGACGUCCGUG